rnacentral:rRNA from 1 species
CGAACGCUGGCGGCGUGCUUACCACAUGCACGUCGCCCGGCAAGGCCCUGCUUGCAGGGUACUCGAGUGGCGAACGGGUGAGUAACACGUGGGUGAUCUGCCCUGCACUUCGGGAUAAGCCUGGGAAACUGGGUCUAAUACCGGAUAGGAGCCAUUUUUAGUGUGAUGGUUGGAAAGUUUUUUCGGUGUAGGAUGAGCUCGCGGCCUAUCAGCUUGUUGGUGGGGUAAUGGCCUACCAAGGCGGCGACGGGUAGCCGGCCUGAGAGGGUGGACGGCCACAUUGGGACUGAGAUACGGCCCAGACUCCUACGGGAGGCAGCAGUGGGGAAUAUUGCACAAUGGGCGCAAGCCUGAUGCAGCGACGCCGCGUGGGGGAUGACGGCCUUCGGGUUGUAAACUCCUUUCGCUAGGGACGAAGCUUUUUGUGACGGUACCUAGAUAAGAAGCACCGGCUAACUACGUG